rnacentral:rRNA from 1 species
UACGUAGGGGGCUAGCGUUGUCCGGAUUUAUUGGGCGUAAAGGGCGCGUAGGCGGCGUGACAAGUCACUUGUGAAAUCUCUGGGCUUAACCCAGAACGGCCAAGUGAAACUGUUGUGCUAGAGUGCAGAAGGGGCAAUCGGAAUUCUUGGUGUAGCGGUGAAAUGCGUAGAUAUCAAGAGGAACACCUGAGGCGAAGGCGGGUUGCUAGGCUGACACUGACGCUGAGGCGCGAAAGCUAGGGUAGCAAACGGG